GACGAACGCUGGCGGCGUGCUUAACACAUGCAAGUCGAACGGAAAGGCCCUGCUUUUGUGGGGUGCUCGAGUGGCGAACGGGUGAGUAACACGUGAGUAACCUGCCCUUGACUUUGGGAUAACUUCAGGAAACUGGGGCUAAUACCGGAUAGGAGCUCCUGCUGCAUGGUGGGGGUUGGAAAGUUUCGGCGGUUGGGGAUGGACUCGCGGCUUAUCAGCUUGUUGGUGGGGUAGUGGCUUACCAAGGCUUUGACGGGUAGCCGGCCUGAGAGGGUGACCGGCCACAUUGGGACUGAGAUACGGCCCAGACUCCUACGGGAGGCAGCAGUGGGGAAUAUUGCACAAUGGGCGGAAGCCGGAUGCAGCAACGCCGAGUGCGGGAGGACGGCCUUCGGGUUGUAAACCGCUUUCGCCUGUGACGAAGCGUGAGUGACGGGAAUGGGGAAAGAAGCACAGGAGAACUACGU
rnacentral:rRNA from 1 species